rnacentral:lncRNA from 10 species
CGGAUAGAAAGAUAAAGAGUUCUUACAGCUCUUUGAAUUCCUGGAGCCAGCCAUGCCUGAAGAUAGUGCCAUCCUUUGAGUCAAUAAGUUAUUUUUGUGCUGAGGCUGGAGUGCAAUGGCAUGAUCUCGGCUCACCGCACCCUCUGCCUCCCAGGUUCAAGCGAUUCUCCUGCCUCAGCCUCCCGAGUAGCUGGGAUUACAGGCAUGCGCCUCUAUGCCUGGCUAAUUUUGUAUUUUUAGUAGAGACGGGGUUUCUCCAUGUUGGUCAGGCUGGUUUCAAAUUCCCGACCUCAGGUGAUCUCCCAGCCUUGGCCUCCCAAAGUGCUAGGAUUACAGGCGUGAGCCACCGCGCCCGGCCAAAGGUUUUGUAUCUUUAACAGUAAAAUAAUAUUUAAGCUUAAGUAAUCAUUCCUUAUUAUAGGGGCAUUUAUAUGAAUGCUAAAUAACUUUGAUUUAAUUUCCCAGUUAAUAACCUUAUUAACAAUAUUCUAGUAAGCAAGGAUAACUACUGAUAUAAUGAUAGAGGCAGGAGACAGAGAAAUUCUAGAGGUGGGUCUCUGGCAAAACCCCACCUUCGAGCCGCAAAGCCUGAAACCCUUGACCCAAAGUGAGAACUAUUCUUGUUUUCCUGCUUGAAAGUUGCCUUUUCCUAAACUACCCAUGGCCCACCCUGCCCCCCAUCCUGUGCCUAUAAGGACCCCAGAUUCAGCUGACAGAAAGAAGAAACAUCUGGGCAUUGGAGAGAGGUGACUUUGACUUCCGAGACGGCAGCUGAAGAGAGGCAACUUGACUUCAGAAAAGAGGCAGAGGCAUCUUGACUUCAGGGGAGAGUGAUCUUCCCUUCCCGUUCCCUUUCCACCUUUCCUCUCCACUGAGAGCCGCUUUCAUCACUCAAUAAAAUUCUCUACAUUCA